rnacentral:rRNA from 1 species
UGGGGAAUAUUGGGGCAAUGGGGGGAAACCCUGACCCAGCAACGCCGCGUGAAGGAAGAAGGCUUUCGGGUUGUAAACUUCUUUUACCAGGGACGAAGAACGUGACGGUACCUGGAGAAAAAGCCACGGCUAACUACGUGCCAGCAGCCGCGGUAAUACGUAGGUGGCAAGCGUUAUCCGGAUUUAUUGGGUGUAAAGGGUGAGUAGGCGGGCUGACAAGUCAGAUGUGAAAUGUUCGGGCUUAACCUGAGAACUGCAUUUGAAACUGCCAGUCUUGAGUGUCGGAGGGGUAAUCGGAAUUCCCGGUGUAGCGGUGAAAUGCGUAGAGAUCGGGAGGAACACCAGUGGCGAAGGCGGAUUACUGGACGACAACUGACGCUGAUACACGAAAGCGUG